rnacentral:rRNA from 1 species
ACGCAUCGAAAGAUGUGCUAAUACCGCAUAUCUCUGAGGAGAAAAGCAGGGGAUCGCAAGACCUUGCGCUAAAGGAGCGGCCGAUGUCUGAUUAGCUAGUUGGUGGGGUAAAGGCUUACCAAGGCAACGAUCAGUAGUUGGUCUGAGAGGACGGCCAACCACACUGGGACUGAGACACGGCCCAGACUCCUACGGGAGGCAGCAGUGGGGAAUUUUGGACAAUGGGCGAAAGCCUGAUCCAGCCAUGCCGCGUGAGUGAAGAAGGCCUUCGGGUUGUAAAGCUCUUUUAGUCGGAAAGAAAGAGUUGCAAUGAAUAAUUGUGAUUUAUGACGGUACCGACAGAAAAAGCACCGGCUAACUGCGUGCCNGCAGCCGCGGUAAUACGUAGGGUGCGAGCGUUAAUCGGAAUUACUGGGCGUAAAGGGUGCGCAGGCGGUCUUGCAAGUCAGAUGUGAAAGCCCCGGGCUUAACCUGGGAAUUGCGUUUGAAACUACAAGGCUAGAGUGCAGCAGAGGGGGAGUGGAAUUCCAUGUGUAGCAGUGAAAUGCGUAGAGAUGUGGNNGANNAACACCGAUGGCGAAGGCAGCUCCCUGGGGNUNGACACUGACGNUCAUGNNNGAAAGCGUGGGGGAGCAAACAGGGAUUAGAUANCCCUGGUAGUCCMCGCCCUAAANNAUGUCANNNNNNUUGUCGGAUCUAAUUAAGGAUUUGGUAACGUAGNUAACGCGUGAAGUUGACCGCCUGGGGAGUACGGUCGCAAGAUUAAAACUCAAAGGAAUUGACGGGGACCCGCACAAGCGGUGGAUUAUGUGGAUUAAUUCGAUGCAACGCGAAAAACCUUACCUACCCUUGACAUGNUUGGAAUCUAAUGGAGACAUAAGAGUACCCGAAAGGGGGCCAAGACACNNGUGCUGCAUGGCUGUCGUCAGCUCGUGUCGUGAGAUG